UUGACCAGGGUCUUGAAGAAAGUUAAUUGGUAAAAUCAUGGGGGAGACGCAUUCUGGACCAAGGCAGGGGAGGAGGCAUCAACUACCUUAGGAGGAGGAAAUUGGGAGUCAGGCGGUAGCGCAAUGGGUUAGGCGCAAAGCACAAGGACUGGUAUAAGGACCCCGGUUCGAGCCCCCAGCUCCCCACCUGCAGGGGAGUCACUUCACAGGCGGUGAAGCAGGUCUGCAGGUGUCUAUCUCUCCCCCUCUCUGUCUUCCCCUCCUCUCUCCAUUUCUCUCUGUCCUAUCCAACAAUAAUGACAUCAAUAACAACAACAAUAAUAGCUACAACAACAAUAAAAAGACAACAAGGGCAACAAAAGGGAAAAUAAAUAAAUAAAAUUUAAAAAUAACAGGGAGUUGGGGUGUAGAGCAGAGGGUUAAGCGCAGGUGGCGCAAAGCACAAGGACUGGCAUAAGGAUCCCGGUUCGAACCCCGGCUCCCCACCUGCAGGGGAGUCGCUUCACAGGUGGUGAAGCAGGUCUGCAGGUGUCUCUCUUUCUCUCCUCCUCUCUGUCUUCCCCUCCUCUCUCCAUUUCUCUCUGUCCUAUCCAACAACGACAACAACAAUAACUACAACAAUAAAACAACAAGGGCAACAAAGGGAAUAAAUAAAAUAAAUAUUCAAAAAAAUGGAGUUAAUUAAAAAAAAUAAUAAUAACAAUAAUAACCACAGUAACAAUUUUUAAAAAAGGGCAACAAAAGGGAAAAUAAAUUUAAAAAGAGGAGAAAAUUGACAAGACUCCAGUUUUUUUUUCUAUUUCAAAAUUGUUUUAUUAGAGAAAUAAUUGUCUACAGAGCAGUUGUCAUAUGGGUCAAAUUUCUUAUUUUUUUAAAUUUAUUUUUAUUUUUUUCACCACUCCUAUCACCAAAGGACUGUGUCCCUAUCCCUACUCCCACAACCACUAUAGUUCUCCCACAGUCUUGAAAAUAGGUUGGUAUUUUUUUUUCACUUGUGUAUAUUCAGUUGUCUAUCCUCCGCAUAUGAGUGACACCAUUCUAUAGUCAUCCUUCACCACCUUCCUUGCUUCACUGAGCAUCAUCUCCAGCUCCAUUUACUUUACCCCAAAGACACAAUGCCAUCCAUUUUUAUUGCUGCAUGGUGCUCUGUUGAGUGUAUGUCCCAUGACUUCUUUAUCCAGUCAUCUAUCGAAGGGCAUUUUGGCUGUUUGCAGGGUUUUGCUAUUGUGAGUAAAGCUGCUGUGAACAUGGGGGUGCCUAUACCCCUUCAAAUCAGUAAUAUAUCUCUUUAUAUCUUUUGGGUAUAUGCCUAGCAGUGGAGUUGCUAGAUUUUUUUUUUUCAAUUUUUGUUAACUUUAUUUAUUGGAUAGAGAAAACCAGAAAUCAAGAGGGAAGGGGGCUAUAGAGAGAGACAGACAGACAGACACCCGCAGCCCUGCUUCACCACUUGCAAAGCUUUCCCCCUGCAGGUGGGGACUGGGGGCUUGAACCCAGGUCCUUGCACACUGUAAUGUGUGCACUUAACCAGGUACACCACCACCCGGCCCCAGAGUUGCUGGAUCUUAAGGAGCUCCUGCUACCAUGCUUCCUGUUGAGCACUAUUAAGACCUCCCGAAGAUUCCUUAUCUGAAGAGAGCACCUCUCAGCUCUCAUUUAUAGUGGUGCUGGGAACUGAACCUGGGACCUCAGCGCUUCAGACAUGAGAGUGUUGUAUAAACUGCUAUACUAUCUCUCUGGCCCCUGGAAAAGAUAGGAUGUGCAACUCAUCUCGUUGAGGUGGAAAAGCAGGGAGGGGGACCCAGAGGACGUUAGGCGUGCAGACCUGGAGGUGUACGCUGGCCACUGGUUGGCUCCACGUGGCUUAACCUGCUGCACUCACGCUGGACUCUGGGGAUCCCGCAUGAAUAAAGAUUUGUACUGCUACCACGAGCUUGGUUCCUGGAUCAUCUCUCCCGCUCGCGACGCUAGUCUGGCAUCCUAUAAAAAAGAAAUACUUAGAAAUGGAUAAGUAUAGAGUCACUGGAAUUGUGGGCAUCCAUCUUAUUUAUUUAUUUACU